rnacentral:rRNA from 1 species
AAGGGGCGUUGGAGACGACGACGUUGAUAGGCGGCAGGUGUAGGCACAGAGAUGUGUUGAGCUGAGCCGUACUAAUGGCCCCGGACGCGUGU